CACGCCCUAAACGAUGUCAACUGGUUGUUGGGUCUUUACUGACUCAGUAACGAAGCUAACGCGUGAAGUUGACCGCCUGGGGAGUACGGUCGCAAGACUAAAACUCAAAUGAAUUGACGGGGGCCCGCACAAGCGGUGGAGCAUGUGGUUUAAUUCGAUGCAACGCGAAGAACCUUACCUGGCCUUGACAUGUCUGGAAUCCUGCAGAGAUGCGGGAGUGCCUUCGGGAAUCAGAACACAGGUGC
rnacentral:rRNA from 1 species